UUGGAAUUGGUUAAGAUUGAUAAGUGCUUCAGCUAAGUUUCUUUGUCUGGUUUGAAAUAGCGUUGUUUGCUUGCUGAAAUGUGAAUAUUCAAUGUUUUGCACCCCUUCUUUGGUUGUUGUUCACGUGUUUGUGGUUCUUUAAAUGUUGAAUCCUUCCAAUCUUUUAGUUCAUCAUCUUGUUGUUCGUUUAAACGGUAUUCAUGAAGUCGAC
rnacentral:lncRNA from 1 species